rfam:Ixodes scapularis strain Wikel colony gcontig_1108378694538, whole genome shotgun sequence.
UCCUGGUUAGCCCAGUCGAUAGGGCGCUCCACUGGAAAUGGAGAUUUCCCAGGUUCAAUACCAGGACCAGGCG